rnacentral:lncRNA from 1 species
UGUAGCAGGCCCAAUUAGCCCGGGCCCGCAUGCAUAAACCAAAUAAAUAAAUAAAGUCCAAUUUUUUUACAAAGCCCAACAAGCAGCCCAAAUACUAGACCCAACCCACUAAACCUAGCCCACACAAAAACAAAAUAACAGAAACCCUAGGAGCCUAUUUGCUUCAACGCUGCCGCCGCUCACCCUUGCACGCCGCCGCGAAUCACGCACCACGACCCUCCCCAUCGUGCGUCGCUCCGUACGCCAGCAUUACCUGCAGCAACAAACGUAAAACCGAACAACAAAGAAAAGGGAACAGAACAACAAUAUGCCAACGAAAAAACAGGAUAGAUUUCUUUGGAUUUGGGUUCGUUUUUUCCUCAUUUUCGGCUAUUUAAAGCCGUUAUCGAAUAUGUAAUAGGGGGAUACUGAAAAAAAGAGUGUAAAAGAUACGAAAAGAAAGAAAAUACAGAGAAUACAAAACAUUUUUUUUGAAGGUGAAUCAGUUUUUUUUUCUUUCCUAUAUUUUCUGUUCUUUUGAUCUUUUUAUUUUAUUUUAUAAGCAAAAAUAAAAAAAGAAAGGACUUACCUCUCACACCGGAGUCGUCAAGUCGGUGCUACCUCCGUCGCAAUCGGAGCCGUGGUGCGUGGCUGAGUGGCGGCACAAAAGGGACUUUUUAAGAUAAACCCUAGCAAGAGUUUGGGUCUAUUCUAUUUUUAU